CUGGCUCAGGACAAACGCUGGCGGCGUGCCUAACACAUGCAAGUCGAACGAAGCACUGUGGAAAGAGACUCGGUCAAUUGAAACUUGACUUAGUGGCGGACGGGUGAGUAAUGCAUGAGCAACCUGCCCUGGAGAGGGGGACAACAGCUGGAAACGGCUGCUAAUACCGCAUGAUGUCACCGGGAGGCAUCUUCUGGUGACCAAAGAUUUAUCGCUCUGGGAUGGGCUCAUGUCUGAUUAGAUAGUUGGCGGGGCAACGGCCCACCAAGUCUGCGAUCAGUAGCCGGACUGAGAGGUUGAACGGCCACAUUGGGACUGAGAUACGGCCCAGACUCCUACGGGAGGCAGCAGUGGGGAAUAUUGGGCAAUGGGCGCAAGCCUGACCCAGCAACGCCGCGUGAAGGAAGAAGGCUUUCGGGUUGUAAACUUCUUUUAUCAGGGACGAAGGAUGUGACGGUACCUGAUGAAUAAGCCACGGCUAACUACGUGCCAGCCGCCGC
rnacentral:rRNA from 1 species